UGCUACCUGUAUUGCUGACAAAAAGCCAGCUGUAGUUCCGAGAGAAAGAUAGGUCCUGAAAAGAGGACUUACUUUGGAGAGACAUGAAGACACACUGGCAUGCCUGAAAGAAAUGGUUAAUGAGGAGAGCGAAAGGAAAAUUUUGGGACAUGGUGAAAGAUAAAACAGUGGGGUGAAUUUGAUGCUAAUGAAAGGCUGAUUUUAUGGCCUGGGACACCAGAAUUCUGUUUAUGCAGUGAACAGCUUUGACAGGAAUUAAUUCACAUCUGGAAGUUUUGAUAGCCAAUAGCAGGAAAAAUGUAGAACCAUAGAUACUCGUGAAUGUUGCUGCAAAUGGAAGCUGUGCAUUUGAACUUGUAACACAGCAAUUGGGAUACCUGUAGAGUUACGGGGAUGUGACAAUUGGAGUAAAUUCCCUCCUAAGAAAGAUGUCUAGAACCUGAAGGCAUUUUCCUCAAUUGAGCUGGUAUUACGGAAAAUCCUGAAAACUGAGUUCUGGAAGUCUGGAGAUUCCUUGCAACAUGCUGCCAAGGCUGUUGGUUUCAACUAGAUUUUCCAGAGCCAUCAAAUAGGAGAUUACUCCUAUUUGAUCAAUACUCCUAUAUUACUCCUAUUACUCCUAAAAAUGACUCAAGAUAUAAUGUGUCCAUGCACUGCAGUUAAAGAUAUGUUCAAUUUAAACCAAACUGUGCAAGCCCAUGUAACUCCUGAGACACUGAAACAGUGCGAAGGUACUUGAGGGAGUACUGAUUGCUCAGCUUACCUUACUUAUUUCACACACCAGGGGUUGAAACUCAGAUGAAAAACAUGUAAAGUCUGGCUUGGAAGAUGUCAAAAAGAGAAUGAAAUCUUACUUUCUGGCUGCUACAACAAAUGUCUAUGGAAAAGAGGGAUUAUAAUUAUGCCAGCUAGUCAUUAGGACCUCCUGCAAAUAACCCAUAAGGGCUGUGGGAAUUAAUGCAAGGAAGAGAAUGAAACCAUCCAGCUAGAAUAUCAGAAAUCCGCCGGCGGCAACGGUGGAAUUGGUCCAGCUGGACAUGUUGCCGCCUGCUUGCAGAGCUGCACAGAUCAGCAACCACCUCUGCUCCCCGGCUCAUCACUGAGCCGUGGUAGGAGUUCCUGCUGGAGGAUGCCCCAGAGAGGCAGCAGCAGAUCGGAAGCAGAGACCUAGCUGAACCCCGGUGAGAAUAUUAUGGUCUGGGGACACAGAUCCAGGUGUCUAUUAAAACUUGAGACAUUUGGCUGUGGGAUGCACUUCUGUCCCUUUGCUAAUCGUAUGUUGCAGCUGCCUCUUGCCAUCCCUUCUCUUCACUGCCCGUCCCCUCCUCCGUGUCCCAUGAAGGUCUCCCCAGCAGCACCACUCAGUGGUUUCACCUUUCUCCCACUUCCAGACUCCCACCUGCUUGUCCCUAGUUACUCCAUUUCUUUCCAUGUACAUUUGG